rnacentral:rRNA from 1 species
CUUUCGGGGUGGAUUAGUGGCGAACGGGUGAGUAACACGUGGGCAAUCUGCCCUGCACUCUGGGACAAGCCCUGGAAACGGGGUCUAAUACCGGAUAUGACAUCCUCCCGCAUGGGAAGGGUGUGGAAAGCUCCGGCGGUGCAGGAUGAGCCCGCGGCCUAUCAGCUUGUUGGUGGGGUGAUGGCCUACCAAGGCGACGACGGGUAGCCGGCCUGAGAGGGCGACCGGCCACACUGGGACUGAGACACGGCCCAGACUCCUACGGGAGGCAGCAGUGGGGAAUAUUGCACAAUGGGCGAAAGCCUGAUGCAGCGACGCCGCGUGAGGGAUGACGGCCUUCGGGUUGUAAACCUCUUUCAGCAGGGAAGAAGCGAGAGUGACGGUACCUGCAGAAGAAGCACCGGCUAACUACGUGCCAGCAGCCGCGGUAAUACGUAGGGUGCGAGCGUUGUCCGGAAUUAUUGGGCGUAAAGAGCUCGUAGGCGGCUUGUCACGUCGGAUGUGAAAGCCCGGGGCUUAACCCCGGGUCUGCAUUCGAUACGGGCAGGCUAGAGUUCGGUAGGGGAGAUCGGAAUUCCUGGUGUAGCGGUGAAAUGCGCAGAUAUCAGGAGGAACACCGGUGGCGAAGGCGGAUCUCUGGGCCGAUACUGACGCUGAGGAGCGAAAGCAUGGGGAGCGAACAGGAUUAGAUACCCUGGUAGUCCAUGCCGUAAACGUUGGGAACUAGGUGUUGGCGACAUUCCACGUCG